GGAGAGUUUGAUCCUGGCUCAGGAUGAACGCUGGCGGUAUGCCUAACACAUGCAAGUCGAACGGUCACUUAGGUGAUAGUGGCGGACGGGUGAGUAACGCGUGAGAAUCUGCCCUCAGGAUGGGGACAACAGUUGGAAACGACUGCUAAUACCCGAUGUGCCGCAAGGUGAAAGAUUUAUCGCCUGAGGAGGAGCUCGCGUCUGAUUAGCUAGUUGGUAAGGUAAAGGCUUACCAAGGCAUCGAUCAGUAGCUGGUCUGAGAGGAUGAGCAGCCACACUGGGACUGAGACACGGCCCAGACUCCUACGGGAGGCAGCAGUGGGGAAUUUUCCGCAAUGGGCGAAAGCCUGACGGAGCAAUACCGCGUGAGGGAGGAAGGCUCUUGGGUUGUAAACCUCUUUUCUCUGGGAAGAAAAAAAUGACGGUACCAGAGGAAUAAGCAUCGGCUAACUCCGUGCCAGCAGCCGCGGUAAUACGGAGGAUGCAAGCGUUAUCCGGAAUCAUUGGGCGUAAAGCGUCCGUAGGUGGUUUUUCAAGUCUGCUGUCAAAGCCUGGGGCUUAACCCCAGAUAGGCAGUGGAAACUGGGAGACUAGAGUUCGGUAGGGGUAGCGGGAAUUCCCAGUGUAGCGGUGAAAUGCGUAGAUAUUGGGAAGAACAUCGGUGGCGAAGGCGCGCUACUGGGCCGAAACUGACACUCACAGGACGAAAGCUAGGGGAGCGAAAGGGAUUAGAUACCCCUGUAGUCCUAGCUGUAAACGAUGGAAACUAGGUGUGGCUUGUAUCGACCCGAGCCGUGCCGAAGCUAACGCGUUAAGUUUCCCGCCUGGGGAGUACGCACGCAAGUGUGAAACUCAAAGGAAUUGACGGGGGCCCGCACAAGCGGUGGAGUAUGUGGUUUAAUUCGAUGCAACGCGAAGAACCUUACCAGGGCUUGACAUGUCGCGAAUCUCUUAGAAAUAGGAGAGUGCCUUCGGGAACGCGAACACAGGUGGUGCAUGGCUGUCGUCAGCUCGUGUCGUGAGAUGUUGGGUUAAGUCCCGCAACGAGCGCAACCCUCGUUUUUAGUUGCCAUCAUUAAGUUGGGCACUCUAGAGAGACUGCCGGUGACAAACCGGAGGAAGGUGAGGAUGACGUCAAGUCAGCAUGCCCCUUACGCCCUGGGCUACACACGUACUACAAUGGUUGGGACAACGGGUAGCGACCCCGCGAGGGCAAGCGAAUCUCAUCAAACCCAGCCUCAGUUCAGAUUGCAGGCUGCAACUCGCCUGCAUGAAGGAGGAAUCGCUAGUAAUCGCAGGUCAGCAUACUGCGGUGAAUUCGUUUCCGGGCCUUGUACACACCGCCCGUCACACCAUGGAAGCUGGCCACACCCGAAGUCGUUACCCUAACCCUUGUGGAGGGGGACGCCGAAGGUGGGGCUAGUGACUGGGGUGAAGUCGUAACAAGGUAGCCGUACCGGAAAGGUGUGGCUGGAUCACCUCCUU
rnacentral:rRNA from 1 species